CCGAGGAGUCCUGGCCGUUCGCGAGUCGUAGGGGCCCCCUUUUUGACUAACCCCGGAGGCGUAGCGAAAGCGAGAGAGCGUGUUGGAGGGCUCCGGGCCGGGAGAGGUGUCGCGGCGAAGUUGCGGGUGGGGGUCCGCCUUCAUUCCGCUUCCGAGCUGCGCCCGAUUCCGCCGGGGCGGCGUCCCCGCCAUUCCAAUCCCCGUCGUUAACGUCGUCGUUUUUCGGCGGCGACCGGAAUCUUUCUCUUUCGGGGGAGAGACGAAGGCUUCGGCGGCGGCGGAGGGGGCGUCAUUUUCUUCCUUCCGCCCGUCGGUGAGAUCUCGCGUGCAUCGAUGCAUGCGAGCGCAUCACCCCCGGGUAGGUUUUUUCCGAGUACGACUCGGCCGACUCUGGUGUAGCGAGCGGCCAGGGACCCGAAAGAUGGCGAUCCACGCCCGGUCGGGAUGAAGCCAGAGGAAACUCUGGUGGAAGUCCGAAGCGCCUCUGACGUGCAAAUCGAUCGUCGGAACCGGGUGUAGGGGCGAAAGACCAAUCGAGCCGUCUA
rnacentral:rRNA from 1 species